UGCAGUCGACGAUGAGCCCUUCGGGGUGGAUUAGUGGCGAACGGGUGAGUAACACGUGGGCAAUCUGCCCUUCACUCUGGGACAAGCCCUGGAAACGGGGUCUAAUACCGGAUAACACUCCUGCCUGCAUGGGUGGGGGUUAAAAGCUCCGGCGGUGAAGGAUGAGCCCGCGGCCUAUCAGCUUGUUGGUGGGGUAAUGGCCCACCAAGGCGACGACGGGUAGCCGGCCUGAGAGGGCGACCGGCCACACUGGGACUGAGACACGGCCCAGACUCCUACGGGAGGCAGCAGUGGGGAAUAUUGCACAAUGGGCGAAAGCCUGAUGCAGCGACGCCGCGUGAGGGAUGACGGCCUUCGGGUUGUAAACCUCUUUCAGCAGGGAAGAAGCGAAAGUGACGGUACCUGCAGAAGAAGCGCCGGCUAACUACGUGCCAGCAGCCGCGGUAAUACGUAGGGCGCAAGCGUUGUCCGGAAUUAUUGGGCGUAAAGAGCUCGUAGGCGGCUUGUCACGUCGGAUGUGA
rnacentral:rRNA from 1 species